rnacentral:rRNA from 1 species
CUCGGCAGANCGCUCAGUAACACGUGNNNNNNNNNNNCUAAGGUGGGGGANAACUUCGGGAAACUGAGGNNNNUNCCCCAUAGUCCAGGGGCUCUGGAAUGACUCUUGGACGAAAACUCCGGUGCCUUAGGAUGGCUCUGCGGCCUAUCAGGUUGUAGUGAGGGUAACGGCCUCACUAGCCUUCGACGGGUACGGGCGUUGAGAGACGUCGCCCGGAGAUGAACUCUGAGACAUGAGUUCAGGCCCUACGGGGCGCAGCAGGCGCGAAAACUGCACAAUACUGGAAACAGUGAUGCGGGGAUUCCAAGUGCCAGGACAAUGUCCUGGCUGUUUUCAAGCCUAAAAAGCUUGGAGAGUAAGGGCUGGGUAAGACGGGUGCCAGCCGCCGCGGUAAUACCUGCAGCCCAAGUGGUGGCCGUUAUUAUUGGGCCUAAAACGUCCGUAGCCGGUUAGGUAGAUGCCUGUGGAAAUCGAACGGCUCAACCGUUCGAAUUGCGGGUAGACCGCCUGACUUGNNACCGGGAGANGUGCGAGGUACUCCGGGGGCAGAGGUGAAAUUCUGUAAU